CUAACCACCACAUCCACGGCAGCGAUCCCUUAAGUGGUGGUGAUAUUAUUAUUUUAUUAUUGCCAGCCAGUGGCUUUAAAGGUGCAUUAUUUUAAUGCAUUAUUAAUUGUUUUCCCAGGGAGAGAAGGAAACUGGGGAUAGGGCUUAUUAUUAUUAAUAGCGAGGAGAUCACUCGCUCCUUUCGCGCACGACGAGGAGAGCGGUGGGAGGAGGCAGCGCCGGAGGGAGGCGGCAGCGGAGCGCACCCCGCUCUCAGGCUCGUUGCGCGGCCGCGGGAACCACCCGCGGGGGCCCGGCGCAGCCCUCGCCUCUCCCUCCCUGUGCCCCCACCCUCGCCCUGUUGCCCUAGCCUUCGGGCGGAAAGUUCCGCGGGCAGCGGCCAACCUCGUGCCUGCCCAAAGCAGCCCCUCGGCAUCCCCCCCAGCUCCAGCCCCAGCCCCAGUCAUAGCUCCGCGCGGGCGGCGUGUCUCCGCGGGCGCCGAAGUUGCGGCAGGGCCGGGGGGCCUCUGCGACUGCCAGCCAUCAAGUGGCUCGUUAAGGAAAUGCAGCUCCUUCGGGGCCUGUGUGGACUAGGGGCACAACCCGGCGCCUGACUGGCAGGAGGGAAAGCGGAGACUCCUUCAGGUUUCCAAAGAGGUCCGAGUGGACUGCAUUAGGAAAACUUGAAGAGUCUUUCACUUUUCAUCCUCCAGUCACUGACUGUGCUAUAAGGAUACUGUGGUGAGGUGGUAGCGGAUUCUCAGAAGUGAAGAACUAAAUACUCCAGAAGACUUUGAAUUCAGAGGGAAAGAUAAAACUGCUCAAAAGUCACAAGACUCUCUCUUUUUUUGCUGCUUGUCUUGGCAGUGCAUCUUGCCUUCAGCUUCAGAGUGGGAGUGAAAAACAUCUGCUUUCCUGAUCUCUUAUAGUCUAACAUAGAAUUUGAUGGACAGAAUGUUGGUACCAGCUAUGGAAGAGCUGUUCAGCCUCAACUCCAACUCUUGCACUGAGGUUUAAUAUCUUUUGAUACAACAAAGAACUCUAUCCUGAGACACAACUACAGGAUGUGCCUUGGAGAAGUAUUACUACUUAAUACUUAAAAAUAACAUUAAAAUAAAUUUGAAGGAAAUCAUGGAAAGGACAAGAAUGAAGGAAAUGAAUGAAGAAAUGACUGAAAGAAAUUUAUUACAUAUCAUUCAAAUGAAUCCCAACCAAAAACCUUUAGAAGUGCUCAACUGCUUACACAUUUAUUUUGACAUAAAUAACUGUGAAGUAUUUUUUUUUAAAUGAACAAUUGAAACCUAAUUGUUUCAAUCUUUUUCAAACAAAAAAAGUGUUAAUCAGAAC
ensembl:lncRNA